rnacentral:rRNA from 3 species
UACGUAGGGUCCGAGCGUUGUCCGGAGUUACUGGGCGUAAAGCGCGCGCAGGCGGCGGUGUAAGCAUGGCGUGAAAGCCCCAGGCUCAACCUGGGAGGGUCGUCGUGGACUGCACCGCUUGAGGGCGGUAGGGGCUGGUGGAAUGCCUGGUGUAGUGGUGAAAUGCGUAGAGAUCAGGCGGAACACCCGUGGCGAAGGCGGCCAGCUGGGCCGUCCCUGACGCUGAGGCGCGAAGGCGUGGGGAGCGAACGGG